AAAAGCACAGUGGGUUUCUCUUAGAGCACUAACCUGCUCUUUAACAAAAAUUGUAAAGGGCUAUAAAAAGUCUAUAAAAAUCUUACCUUGUGGUCAAAUAUUAAAAUUGAGUAAAUAUGUCUAUAAGGAUUUAUUAAUUCGGUUUAACAUUCAUAGUACACUAAUGUAAAGGUGAAAUUUGGCUUAUUUGGUAUAAAAAUUAUACAGAAAAUAUUGUCAAAUACGAAAUGGUGCUUGGCUUUCUUUGGGCUAUAUUUGUGUAGAUAUGUUUUUGGUAUGUGUUCCAAGGUUGUGGGAGACUCCUACAAUCCUGAUAUGUUUUAGUGUACAUUAUCAGUAAUAAUUAUAAUUGUUAUGUUAAAAUUGUUGUGUGCCACGUAGGUAACAGAUUUCCUCAUCAAUUGUGUCUUUAACUGCGGCCACCCUAAAACUUUUUGUCAUCCAUGAACAAUUGUUGUCUUGUUUUGGUCCUCUUUAGAAGGUGGUUUUAUGAUCAGCUAUAAAGUUCUGACAGGUGCUCUUGAAUGCAGGUUUCUGAUAACUUUGCAGAUUGUGACAUCAGAAUAGAGGAAGGACGUUCAGGACUCUUGAAGAGCUGGAAUGUUCAUUGAUAUCAGGCAGGACAGGAACUGACUGCGUGAACUGAACUAACAGACUGGAGUGAUCUUUUUGAUGUUUUGCUCGGAAUAUUGUUGGUCCUUUGUUUGCUUUUCAGAGUCAAAGAGGCUUUUCUUUUGAGCUAUCAACAGCUUUUGACAGUUUGGUGUGCUCCCAUGAACAAAAUUUGAGGCAUGCUUAUUUCUCUCUGCCUGGUUUUCUCCCGAGUCUGGAAACUACCUGCCAGGAACCCCAGGUUAUCUUGGAGCCUCAAGAGUGGAAGAAUUCACCCAACUCACAGCUGGAGAUCACUAAAACCUAAGCUGUGCUUUCUUGAAGCCCUGUGAGCUGAAAAUUAGAUGUUUCAGUGGGCGCUGCCUCUGGGCCUCUGAGGCAGAGUGUGCUACCCAGAACAAAUCGACCUCUUCCACUCCAGCACCAUGUUCAGUGUCCCAUAACGACAACCCUCUCUCAGCAGGAAGUAGCCAGAAAGAGCACGUCGCCCCUCAUCCUUUUAUAACUAUAGGGUCUGGAUUGACAAAGCAGGAGCAUCAACAUUUUGGACAAACAGCAGCAUUUUAAGUUCCCCUUGAUUAAAAACCGCCUAAAUCCAGCCCCCAAAAAAUCAGCCUAAUGGCUGUCAGCAUGACCAUAAACCACAAAUGACACCUCCAAUCAGAAACAUUCCAACCCUGAGAUAAAGCGCCCUCCAACCAGAAACAUUCCUACCCCGAAAUCAAACACUCCUCUGACCAGAAACAUUCCCAACCUGCGAUAAGCUCUCCCUCCCUAAACCCUUAAAUACCCUUAGUCUGUAAGAGAGAGUGCUCCUGACAGCAAUCGGCCAGAAGCCCCUCUCAGGUUUAUUCUCCAAAAUAAACCUGUCUUGGACUGUUGAGCCACUUUUCGUGUUUCUUUCUUCUUUCUUCAACUCUUACACUCAGGAGUUCAAGACCAGCCUGGCCAACAUGCAAAACCCCAU
rnacentral:lncRNA from 1 species